AAGUCGUAACAAGGUUUCCGUAGGUGAACCUGCGGAAGGAUCAUUAACACGUAUCCACGUUUUUAAACUUUAUCAACAACACUACGAACUGAACUCCCUGCUGUAUGCAAUCUGCGAGGUCGUUAUCUGUUCAUGAUGGGUUGGAAGCUAACAAGUAGUUGUCCGAGACUUGUGUUAGUGGAAGACUGGCAGGUAAAGGCUAUCUCAUCUCCCGAGUGAGGACUCGCAACCGCAUGCAGUAGGCUUACUGACUCUAACCUCGCGUGGAGCAAUCCAAUCCUUACCAUCCUAAGGCCGAGAGUAGAACCCCAUAACCUAUUUCACCCUAUUUUACCCAUUUGACUAAUACAAAAAACAUUCGAUUGGAGAAAUCCUUUUUGAAUGACUAAGAUUUAUCUUAACUAAGCACAACUCUUAGCAAUGGAUAUCUUGGUUCUC
rnacentral:misc_RNA from 1 species